UGGGGAAUUUUGGACAAUGGGCGAAAGCCUGAUCCAGCAAUGCCGCGUGUGUGAAGAAGGCCUUCGGGUUGUAAAGCACUUUUGUCCGGAAAGAAAUCCUUGGCUCUAAUACAGUCGGGGGAUGACGGUACCGGAAGAAUAAGCACCGGCUAACUACGUGCCAGCAGCCGCGGUAAUACGUAGGGUGCAAGCGUUAAUCGGAAUUACUGGGCGUAAAGCGUGCGCAGGCGGUUUGCUAAGACCGAUGUGAAAUCCCCGGGCUCAACCUGGGAACUGCAUUGGUGACUGGCAGGCUAGAGUAUGGCAGAGGGGGGUAGAAUUCCACGUGUAGCAGUGAAAUGCGUAGAGAUGUGGAGGAAUACCGAUGGCGAAGGCAGCCCCCUGGGCCAAUACUGACGCUCAUGCACGAAAAGCGUGGGGAGCAAACAGGAUUAGAUACCCUGGUAGUCCACGCCCUAAAACGAUGUCAACUAGUUGUUGGGGAUUCAUUUCCUUAGUAACGUAGCUAACGCGUGAAGUUGACCGCCUGGGGAGUACGGUCGC
rnacentral:rRNA from 1 species